AUUGAACGCUGGCGGCAUGCCUUACACAUGCAAGUCGAACGGUAACGGGCCUUCGGGUGCCGACGAGUGGCGAACGGGUGAGUAAUACAUCGGAACGUGCCCGAUCGUGGGGGAUAACGAGGCGAAAGCUUUGCUAAUACCGCAUACGAUCUACGGAUGAAAGCAGGGGACCGCAAGGCCUUGCGCGGACGGAGCGGCAGAUGGCAGAUUAGGUAGUUGGUGGGAUAAAAGCUUACCAAGCCGACGAUCUGUAGCUGGUCUGAGAGGAUGAUCAGCCACACUGGGACUGAGACACGGCCCAGACUCCUACGGGAGGCAGCAGUGGGGAAUUUUGGACAAUGGGCGCAAGCCUGAUCCAGCCAUGCCGCGUGCAGGAUGAAGGCCUUCGGGUUGUAAACUGCUUUUGUACGGAACGAAAAGCCUUCUUUUAAUACAGGAGGGUCAUGACGGUACCGUAAGAAUAAGCACCGGCUAACUACGUG
rnacentral:rRNA from 1 species